AGGCCGCAAGUGACCCCACGACGUGGGUGGGUGCAGCUGCUGGAGCAGUGCUGAUAUCACAGGAGAAAUUCUAACCACGCUCCCAACACCUAUUUCAGGGGUUGGCAAUCAAGUCCCAAGGCAAAAGUGACAUCUAAGGUGAUUUUAGAGAUGGCUACCAGGAUCACCCAACCAUUGGCUACUGCUUGAGGUCUUGGGAGGCCAGAGCCUAAAGCCCAGGGAAAGCUUCUUUUCAGGCAGGGUGUGGGUGUGGGUGUGCGCAUGAGCACCAUGUGUGAGGCAGGGAAUGAAGGCUUGGCACGCCACUUUAGAUGGUGGCUGAGAAUCAGAUGUGCCUGCAUCUGGUGGGAUAGACUGUCUCACAUCUGCCCAGCUGAAGGUUCGGGAGGUUGUGGCAACUUCUUAAAAUAAGACACUAAAGUUUGCUGUAUCAGUUGACUCUUACUUUCAGGAAAGAUUUCUCUGUAGCAUGCAAUGCUGACUGAUAGCAUUUUACCCACGGUAAAAUUUCUUUCAAAAUUGGAGACAAUCCUUUGAAACCCUGCCCCUGCUUUAUCAACUCAGUUUAUGUAAUAUUCUUCAUUCUUUGUCAUUAUUUCAACAGCAUCUUCACCCCGAAGUAGAUUCCAUCUCAAGAAAUGACUUUUGUUGAUCUCUAAGAAGUGACUCCUCAUCCACUCAAGUUUCAUCAUGUGAUUGUAGCAAUUCAGUCGCAUCUUCAAGCUCCACUUUUUAUUUAUUUAUUUUUUGAGACAG
rnacentral:lncRNA from 1 species